GUACUUUUCUGUGCUGACGACGCCCGCUUUCUCUGUUUAGUCGCUCCGUGAUAAAGCAAUAUAAACUGACCUUGUAUUACGUUAUCAUUAUCUAAGCGAAAGUACCUGUACGGGCCUUCCAUUUCAAGCAAUGGCUCGUGGAAUUUUAGCCGUAACUUUGAUGUUGACGGCAUUAUCAUAUGCUUCAGAUCAUCCGGCGUUGAUGAGCACUAAACACUUGAAGCAAUUUCAGUUCCUAAAGUAUGACAGAACAGAUUUACAUGAAAGACAUCUGAGAGCAAAGAGGUCUGCGGAUAGUAGGGUGGAAAGCCAUAAAACUGUGGAGUUAAAAUUCUCCGCUUACAAUAGGUAUUAUAUCCCAUUUCCUCGUCAAAAGAACACAAUAGAGUGCAUACUCUCUAUUGGAAAAUAUGAUGAUGAUCAUAUAUGUGUAUACAAAAUGUAUUGUUAUGGGAGCGGCUCUAAAUGCCCUGAUGCCGAGUUGAAACCAAACAGAACUGAAUGCAAUGAUAAUAGACAAAUCUGUUACCUUGGGGAAUGUUCUGGAUCCAUCUGUGAAGCAGCAGAUGUUAUGAUGGAAGAAUGUUUCUGCUCUGGUGAAGAGAAAACUCCUGAAGAAAAAUGCCAUCUUUGUUGCCAAGAACCAACAUAUUGGUGGGCAGUGGUGCUGAUGGGUGUUGGUUUGAUUAUUGUCAUGGGGCUUUUCAUCAAAAUAUGCAGUGUAGCAACGCCGAGCAGCAAUCCAAAGUUGCCACCUGCACGCACCCUAUCACGGAAAAAUCGUACCAACCAAACGCGUGCAAUGGAAUUGCAGUGAACAUCUAUUGCCGUAUACUACUUAAUAGGUUGUGGUGUUUUUCAAUUUGCAGUGUUCCCUAGUUGUCACACUGCGUGUUUGAAUAUCGUGUAAAAAGUGUAAUUUCAUCCAAUGUGGAGUGCCUGACAUAUACUUUAUUACAAUACCCUCAUGGUUUUAUUUUUGGAACUUUUUGUAGUUUUUAAACACAUUUUUCUCUACUAUCAUGGCACUUACCAUAUUGGCUCUAUUAGUAUGGCAUGCAUUUAAGUCAAUUACAGAACUCUGUCUGGGUAACAUAUUUUAAUAAUCCAGCAUACAAUAAAUUCAAUUCUAAUAGAGCAUUUACAGUAUUUGUUAAAUAAUUGAUUAGCGGGGUGUAUAUUGCCACUGCUGUUGAUAUCUGGGUGGUAAAUUGGGCUUGGAUAAAUUGGACAUACUUGUACAUUUUGAACAAAUAUUUGUAAUUUUUUAUAUGUAUACACUGUAUUAGGAACUGGUUAAAAAAAUUAAAAUAGAACUGGUAAUUGUACUUUUGAUAUAAACUUGGGUGCCUUUUUCUGUAAACCAGUUUAAAUUUAAUUUUUUUUAGAGAAAAGUGGGUAUGGAGCUUGCGCUUUCGAUAAUUUGAUAUGUGUGUCACCUUGAUUAAACCUACCUUUUCCAUGCUAUGAAUGGAAUUGUCCUUAUACAUGCCAGUGUCUGAUUUUGUUUUAGUGAAUUUUUGAUUUAUUUCUUUUUAGUGUUAAAUUAGUAUUUUAGGGAUGUUCAAGUUUAUUUAUUUCAUUUGACACAUUUGUAUAAUACACCUAUCCUACUUUGCAUACAAUUGAGCCCCCUAGCCAGCCUACUUGCAUUUCAGUGUGUCCCCUAGCCUACUUGUCAUUCUAGUAGGCCCUCUAACCUACUUGUCAUUCUAGUAAAGCCCCCUAGCCUACUUGUCAUUCCAGCCUACUAGCUUACUUUGAAUUCUGAUGAGCUCUCCUGCCUAUUUAUAGUCAACUAUAAAAGGUUCUGUGUUUCUCUUGAAAAAGAAAAAAUCAUGAAUAAUAUCAAUGCUAGUAAUUAUUUAAGAGUGAAUUGAAUUUAUAGAGCUGUAGAAGAAAAGACUAUAUUCAGAUUUCCAAACUGAAUGUUCGAGAGAGCCAAUUUAUGUGUUUUUUUAGAAAUUAGAGGUUUACACUCUGAAAUGAGAAAUUUUCCAAAUCUAGAACACGCUUAAGAAGCUCAAUUUGUGCAUGUCUUGUUAUAGGGUUUACCCUAUCGCAAUAUUAAAUGAGAAUGCUUUUAUUUUGUCUUUGUAGAUGACUCAAUACUGCAGUGUGUCAGUGUUAUUUGGUUCUCUUUGUGUGUGGGAAAGUGUUUUUUAGUUUCCAAUAGAACACAUCAGGUGCAUGUCAGUUGUUUAUUUGAUGUGUGGUUAUUAUGUGACAUAUUCAUUUUUACUGUUUGGUGUAGACUGUCGACAGUUCUUGGCCUAAUUUGUAUUUGAUUUAGUAUACUAAAAAAUUAAGCCUGAGGACUGUCGACAGUCUGUUUGGUGUUACGGUUAGGUAGCAUUGAUUUCAAAAUCUGCAGAAUUUUCAACAGUAUUUUCCAUCCUCAGAAUCCAAGUCAAUGCAAAGCUGCUUAAAAGCUUGUACCUGAUUGGCUACCCAACCAUAACACCCAACAUUUGGACCAAUUAGAGAGCAACUUGUUUGUUGCAGGAUCAUUUCAAAGUAUCAAAUUCUGCCUUGUAUAUAUAUGCUUCAACUGAACUGGAAAAAUCCUAGUCUUUGCAAUGCUGCAUCAAAUACCUUAGUUUGAAUAUUUAUUUUCAUAAGCCUAAAUGGCCUGGUACUUACACUAAACUUUUACAUAUUCCCACAACAAAUGUUCCAUUAUAAGUAAUCUUAUCUAACACAUCACCUGCUCCACAGGUAUAUAAAUAAAUGGUAGAUAAUGUCGGCAGACCAUCUGUAAAUUUAUUGACGAGACAUGAUGCAAGUCUUUUGUUUUAUGAAGAUUUCAGUUUUACUUUCAAACGUAAUCUGUUGAUGUAAAAAUUAUUAAAUCUGCAUUGCAUGUACAUGUUAAAGUUAAUAUUUUCUAGUUAUUUUCUUCAUCAUUGUCAUUGGGCAUAUUUGAUUACUGAGGAUUUCAUACAAAUUUAUUUAAAUGAGUUGUUUGUUUUUCUCCCACAUUUUACCAGUAUGUUGUGAAAGUCGCUGUUGGCACCGGUCAAAGAAUGUCCAUUUCUGUUUUUUCUAAUUAGGAAUAGAUACUUUCUUUUAAUACUAAAUUUUUGGCAAGAGAAUCAUAUUCAGAAUUAUUUUGUGCGGGUGCAGGAUUAUUUAGAUGUGUGUGUCAUAUCUAAAGUAGAUGAUAUUUUCCAUCUGGCCAAUCAGACUUAUUUGUUUUGGUCAGAUGACAAAAUCUCAGAUCAUCUCUGAAAACAUGGAAUAAGUUCAUUGUAUAAUAGGUUAAGUUUGCUUUUUGUUAUUUAUCAAUAUUAGUACAGUCGUAUAUGGGCUGCAUGAACUGAUUGGGUUACAUUGUCAAAUUUGUCUCCCCAAAAACUUGCGUAAUCUUUUCUUGAGUUUCUUGUACAACUACUACAUGUGUGUAACUAGGGGUGAGGGGUGCAUAUUUGGUUUUUCACAUAUUGAUACUUAUUAUACAAUGAAUACCCACAAUUAUAUGCAACCAUAAAUGUUUGAAGAAUUGAGUUAGAAUAAGGAUUAACCAAGAUUGGCUAAUACACUGAAUAAAGGUAGUUUCUUGAGACAAGUUUUAGUCUUGUUUGUACUAAAAACAAAUGCGACACAUUAUUCAAUUCACUAUUUUCACAACUUUGUUGAAAUUUGAACAUUAUGACACAAUUCUCUAACUUUGAUUGGGAAUUUAGUGAUUUAAUGUUUUAAGACUGGGUUUUCAGUAAGUGAUAAAUGUUAUUUAUAAAUAUUGAGUUCUAUUGAUGAACAGACAAAAAAGUCUAUCUCCCUGUAAUUUGUAGCUCUCUGUAAUUCUGAAAUUUCAAUAAAACAAGCUUUUUCAAAAAA
rnacentral:sRNA from 1 species